rnacentral:rRNA from 1 species
CUGAAUAACUACGCAGAUGGCAUGGUCUCGCACCGGCCACAUAUCCUUCAAGUGUCUGCCUUAUCAACUGUCGAAGGUAGUUUAUACGACUACCUUGGUGGUAACGGGUAACGGAGAAUUUGGGUUCGAUUCCGGAGAGGGAGCCUGAGAAACGGUUACCACAUCCAAGGAAGGCAGCAGGCGCGCAAAUUACCCACUCUCAGCUCGAGGAGGUAGUGACGAAAAAUAACGAGACAGUUCUCUAUGAGGUCUGUCAUCGGAAUGGGUACAAUCUAAACCCUUUAACGAGGAUCAAUUGGAGGGCAAGUCUGGUGCCAGCAGCCGCGGUAAUUCCAGCUCCAAUAGCGUAUAUUAAAGUUGUUGCGGUUAAAAAG